CACAUCGCUCUUCACAUAGAAUAAUACAGUCUUCUUAUAUUCGAACGAAAGAGAAGAGUUCGUCCCUUCGGGGACAUCCGAUAAAAUUGGAACGAUACAGAGAAGAUUAGCAUGGCCCCUGCGCAAGGAUGACACGCACAAAUCGAGAAAUGGUCCAAAUUUUUUUUUGCCUCCCUCCCUCCUCGUGCUGCGGCGACGGGAAACACCGGAAAUCUAUUUGCGAUCUUCAGCGGUGAGAAAGAUUGGCGGCGGCAGUGGAACCGGAACCUUGCGACAAGAAAGAUUUGAUUCAUCAGGUUUCUUCCUUCCUGCACCUUUUGUUUAUAUAUAUGUAUGUUGUUAAGAGUUUGUUCUGAAAUCGUAUUAGGGUUGUUCCUUGGAAUCUUGUUGUUUGAUGGGGGUCUCCUUCAUAAACCUUUGACAAAUCAAAUCUUUGCUUGUCAGGGCAUGUUUGAUAAGCGUUGUUUCCUACCACCUGUUUGUUUCAUUGCUGUUUGUUUGGGUUCAUCAAGCCUAAAUUGAAUUUGAUUUAGUUGUUGAAAUCAUCUUUAAGCUGCUUUCUAUUCUUCGUUUUUAUUGUCUGCUUUGUUGUUGUUGAUGAUAUGUUGCAUUGCUUUUCCAUGUUCAUAUAUGCGCCUACAUUACUAUUUACUAGUACAAAAAGAAGUUCAUUGUUGAUAUUCCUCCUCUAUAUGUUGUGGGUGGACAUGGAUCUUCUGUUCAUUUACUAGAUCAUGGACAUGUAAUGUUUUUGAAUUUUUCUUCUUCCUCCAGUGGACAUACAAAAGUUCCUGGUGUGAUUGAUCAGCAGCUAACUUUUCUAGUAAAUGUUGAGAACUAUGUGUUGAUGAAAGGUUGUUGAUAUUGAAGUUUAGUCACACAUAGUUCAGUUCAGUUCAGUUCAGUCAAUUGUGUGUUGUUUCAAAGAGGGUAUUUAGAGUUAUAAGUGCACAGUUUGUUGUCUUUAGCUGUUUGGUAAUACCUGUGUUUGAUUUGUUAUACACAUACAUAUGCUCAUGUUGGAUUUCUCUCUUGCAUUAUUUAUAUAUAUAUAUAGCAAUUGUAUGUGGACAACUUAAUCCUAAUUUCAUUUAUUCCUCUUCUCUCUCGGUUGAAUUCUUCAAUGGGUCUUGAAAUAUAACAGGAGAGUUCACAAAAGAUUUGUAUCUAUCAUAUAUAUAUAUAUAUAUAUAUAUAUAGUCUAGCCUUCUAUGGAGUUUCCGUUUCAUAACCAGGAUUAGAUGAGUUUUUAAUAUGUCACAUUUCUAGUUUGUGAUUUAUGCUACUGAUCCUGACUGCUGUCAUCAUUCAAAUGUCCAGCUUGAAUAAAAAAACCCUGUAAUCAUAAGUGUCUAAAAUCUCUAAUUAGAAAGCUUGGCAAAAUUAUCAAAGAGGUGAAACAGUUAAAUGAUAUAUAAAAGCUGGUUUGGUCUUAACCUAUGUUCUUAGGCAACAAUUCAUAUUCCUUAGAAAGCUAGUAACUUAAGACAAAGUGAGUAAAUUUAAAGCGGUUGAGGAUAAUUCAUGUCCACCGCUAAUGAGAAAAUGAAUAUUUAAUCAUAUCCUUUGUUUCCAAUUGCCCUCACAGUGCGAAAAUUUUCGAUCAAGUUGAAUUAAAGAAUGAAGAUUAUCGAUGGUCAUAAGGAAAGCAUCAAUGUCAUGUGCUGGAUGUUUCUUCUUCUUCUUCGGACCAAUAUCCAAUAUCUACAUGGUCCUAGUGUGGCGGUUGGGGUUGGAGGAGGGUUUGAUACUCUUGCACUUUUCUUGUUUCUUGGUGCUGCUGCUGUUCAGGAAAUUCCUUGGUGGAUCUUGGGAUGAAAAUGAAUGAUUCAGAUGGUUUUUGGAGGGAUUGCAGUUGUUUGUGGGAUGGUUGGAACUGUAGCUGGAGGUUACGUUCUUGAUCUCAUGUCUUCCACAAUCUCCAAUGCUUUUAAGGAUAUAAUAAAACCUAGAGGAUCACAGCUCUUAUUUUAACAUCUGUUCUUUUUCUGGCAGCCUCAACAUGAUUCUUAGGGAUCUAUGUUCACAAGACAGAUAAAUCGAUGGAGGAUUCAGAUGAGAUAAGUGACAAGUGUAUCAAAACGCCUUUGAUUGAAGAGAAAGCUGAAAAAGUCAAAACUGCAGGUGAACCAUAAUAGGCAGACAAAGAAAGGUUGGCUGGCCGGCAUUGUAGGAAUUACAUGUGAUAUGCUUUUUCAAGUAUUUGUAUAUUAUUGUUAUAAUCUUAAUAGUUAUUAUUCUGGAAGCAAACCAUGUAUUAUUAUUAUUAUAUAGUGAAAUAAUAAUUUUAAAAGUGAAACUUCAAAUUAUAAAAUUUUGUUUUCAAUAAUAAAAUGCAUGGUAACUUUCAGUUUCUUUUGACAGACAGACAGGUCUAUUAUAAGUUUAUAUUUCCCAUAUUAAUUAAUACUGUUUUU